AAUACGGGGGGAGCAAGCGUUGUUCGGAUUUACUGGGCGUAAAGGGCGCGUAGGCGGCCAGCGCAAGUCAGUUGUGAAAUCUCCGGGCUUAACUCGGAACGGUCAACUGAUACUGCGCGGCUAGAGUGCAGAAGGGGCAACUGGAAUUCUCGGUGUAGCGGUGAAAUGCGUAGAUAUCGAGAGGAACACCUGCGGCGAAGGCGGGUU
rnacentral:rRNA from 1 species